rnacentral:lncRNA from 1 species
CGCCCUUUACCUUUCUUCUUCUUCUCUUCCUCAUCAUCCUCGCUGGCCCCCAAGAGCGUAAAGAUGAUUCCUGUCUGGGAGUUGAUCCCCACGGCAGUCACUAGCAUCCGGCCAGAACCUUCCAUCACGUGAGUCCCUGCACGGCAAAGGAGAGGAUGGGAAGGAGUGUUGUUCUUUAAAACCUACUGUGAUGUGGUGUCAAACACAAACUUAAAAAUGAUGCCUGGCCCAUGGAUACUGAUACACCUAUCAGAGAGUAAGAAAAGGUCAAGACCUGGAUCCAUUUAAAACAGACCAAUCACACUGAAGCCACAGGCAGCUGGAUGAGCUGGCCGUUCCGGAUGAUGGAGAACUUCUGCUCCUGUUCAAUACGGCUCUGCAGGCCCGGAACUGCUUCUCUUUGCUCCAGUCAUUGAAGGCAGUCACCAAUACCACGAUGAUCACUGAGAACAGGAUGGCAGCCCCCCUCGAUCCAGCCAGCUUCUGCCUCAUUUUCGUCUUCUGGGGGGGCCGAUAGAAGGACAGGACGAGGGAGAUGAUGGCUGCGAUCUCCAGGAUGAUGAGCGUGACAUCUUGAAGGGCUUCCCACACUAACUCUAAGAAGGUCUUGGGCUUUUUUGGGGGGAUCAAGUUCUGUCCAAACUUGAGUCACGUUUCUCCAGGUCAGCAGGGUUCCCAGAAAGACCUGCAAAGGAGAGGGGAAUGAAUGAUGGAUGGGAAGAAGAGGGGGAAUGAUAACAGAAGGCAGUUAAAAGCCCUCUUGUGAAAAAGCAAAAGACACCUUUAAAAAGACCCUUUGCUGCCUGACCUGCCCAACUGUGA